AUUUGUACCCAAGAGUGGAGCAAGACCCCAAGGAAGAGUGAUUGACGCAUCGGGAGCGAAGAACAGAAACGAUGGAUGGUUACGCUGCUUGGGUCUCGGCACGUUCGAAUUGGCAAAGUUCCGAAUUUGUCGCUGUGUUGUGUACGCUUGUGCGCUCGUCAUUUGCCGUCAUCGCGCGGAGAUAUUUGCGCUGGAUGCCUUUCAGUUCGUGUACAAAACUCUGCACGCUGCGGCAUUGAAGAAGUUGUCCUGUGUUUUGAUGCACGUAUGCGCUCGGACACGGUUAGCCUGCUUGCUCUCAACCGCGCGCUCGUAACUUGCUCAUGAGGCCGAGGAGGCCGGCGCCGCGAACAUAAACAUCCGCUCGUUGUGCAGACGCUCACGGCGGCGGCGGCGGAAUCGGAUCCACUACACGCAGUAUUGUAGCUCUCAAAGUUCAAAAAAGUAUGGUGGGAGCUGUUGCCAAAGUUUCGACCAGAAAAGAAAGCCAGUAUAAAAGGGUCAGCACCACUGAUCUCUACCACAGGGGAAGGACAGCACAUCGAGCAUCCUCGACUGAAGCCAACCUUGUCCCGAAAGUUGGUGCUUCACAACUUUGCGGCAACACUUCGUUUGCACCGCCUGUGGAGACAAGGUUUCUUAGACAUGGCCAUGGCCCUCAAUGAAGAUGCCGAGGACACAGGCAGUUCCUCCAGAGUCCGUGAAAAGGACCCCUGGAGCACAAGUCUAAUUUGGCACCCCUACCUUUCUCCUGCAGCUUUUCCGUCUACUUAGCUAACCAGCAGCAAGUUUAUCCGUGCAAGCGUUUGGAGUCAAGAACAACUUUGACCAAGAAGUGCAAGACGAGUGAUUGAAGAAAAUAAAGUUGCUUCUGUGAUCUAAAAA